UGAGAGAGAGAGAGACAUCAACCUCACCACGUCGUCCACGUUUCUCUCCAUCUUCUUUCACUAUGAUAAGUCACGACCAUGCUCUGCUCGAACCAUCAAUCAGUUAUUUUUCCCGGAGCACUGGAGAUCCUGUUUCAGAUUAUAGCGACCCUACUCUGAAUCACAAACCCAACUCUGAGAAUUUUGAUAAUCAAUACGGCGAAGAGAUUUGCGACUUACGAGGAUUAUACUGAUAACAAAAUAAAUCCAGGAUACAAGCAACACGUGUUGCUGGAGAAUCUAUAGAGAAUGCGUCCAUUACGCCAUAUUCAGUAAUGAUUGCUUUUAGUUUUCAUUCUGAGAUCCAAUAUCUAGAUUGCUUUCGGUCUGUCUGAUUGUCAGAUUAAUAAUAUGUUUGGUCAAAGUUUCAACCAAUCAGACAGAUAGAAAGCAAUCUGGAUAUUGGAUCUCAGAAUGAAAAUGACCAGAGAGAGUUCCAAUCUCUCAUUGGCAGCACCCUCACAUCUCAAGGUAAUGCCCAAAUUUGUUUGCUUUGCUUUUGCAAUAUUGGAAAAGCUGAACCAGGGGGAUAUUAAAGACUACUCGGCACGUUUAACCACUCUCAUAUGUUUACGGUUGGUUUGUUGAGCUGAUAAUCUUACUUGAACUCAUUUGUCCUGGCAGAUAUGGAAUGGGAUGUAGCAAAUCACAUCUUGGUGCUUGUAUUGGAUCAAAACGUCAGAAUCUCCAGUCUGUUGAUUCUGAGAGCAGUUUAAAAUCUGAAUACAAAGUUUUAUCUUCACUGGCAAAGAUCCAGGGUCAGCUGGGAGAAUUUCACAUUUUCUUGAACCAGCAUAAAACUCAGUGCUCCUUGACCCAUUAUUCUCAUCUCCUCUGAUGUUACCUUUGUUCUCUCCAUCACCUUCCCAUCUUUCUCU